UGAGACUGUCUCAAUAAACCCCAAAAAAACAAAGAAACAAACAAACAGAAAAACACAUUCAUCCAUUUAGCAAGUAAUUACAGAGUGUCUACAAAGUGCCACACAAUGUGUUAGGCAAUUGAGGCUAACCCCAUCGAGUCCUCUCUUUCAGGAUGCUGGCUAUGUCAUUAGAGAUAAAUAUCUGUUCACAUAAAACAAUUUGAAAUCUAUAAAAGAGCAUAUAACCAAGUACUAAAGCAAUGUUAGGAUUUGCAAUCUGGUGCUGAAACAUUGGAGCCAUUUUUGACAUUUUUUUUUCAAAUUCCAUAGCCAAUCGUCAGGAAAUCCUGCAUGCUCUUCUUUCAAAAUACUUAAAAUUCAAGUGCUUCUUGUGACCUCUCUUGUCUGAGCUAGCGUCUUCACCAGCCUGGGUACAGCAGUGGGCAUCUAUCCAGUCACCUAGCCACCAUCUCUGUCUUCCUGUUGCCUAUUCUCAACACAGCUAUGACAGUGAUCUGCAUAAAAUUUAAGGUCUCUACUCACACAUCAGUUUAUUAGAGACUUCUUCACUGACUACGGUAUAUAAAAUAAUAAAGUACUUCUGCCCCU
rnacentral:lncRNA from 10 species